UUAGAAAAACGAAUUAACGAGGUUCCUUUUGUAUCAUGAGUCAACGACUUUAUAAUCGUAGCAAGCUUAAGUUGUUAAAUGUAAGCGUAGCAAAUACAUGUUUUAAAAAAGCUUUUUUUUAAUGAGUUGCGGUUAUAAUACCCGAAUUCAAGUGAUUUAGCCAAGAACAGACUAAAUAUAUAGUAAUAUAUGUGAGAAGGUCAAACUA
rnacentral:rRNA from 1 species